ensembl:snRNA U4 U4 spliceosomal RNA
AGCUUUGCACAGUGGCAGUAUUGUAGCCAAUGAGGUUUAUCUGAGGCGCGAUUAUUGCUAAUUGAAAACUUUUCCCAAUACCCCGCCAUGACGACUUGAAAUACAGUUUGCGUUGGCAAUUUUUGGGAGUCUCUAUGGAGA